rnacentral:rRNA from 1 species
GAUGAACGCUAGCUACAGGCUUAACACAUGCAAGUCGCGGGGCAGCAUGGGGGUUGCUUGCAACUCCCGAUGGCGACCGGCGCACGGGUGAGUAACGCGUAUCCAACCUGCCCUUCACCACGGGAUAACCCGGCGAAAGUCGGACUAAUACCGUAUGUUGUCCAUUGACGGCAUCCGAUUUGGACGAAAGGCUUUGCGGUGAAGGAUGGGGAUGCGUCCGAUUAGCCAGACGGCGGGGUAACGGCCCACCGUGGCUACGAUCGGUAGGGGUUCUGAGAGGAAGGUCCCCCACACUGGAACUGAGACACGGUCCAGACUCCUACGGGAGGCAGCAGUGAGGAAUAUUGGUCAAUGGGCGUAAGCCUGAACCGGCCAAGUAGCGUGCAGGAUGACGGCCCUAUGGGUUGUAAACUGCUUUUAUGCGGGGAUAAAGUGGCCCACGUGUGGGCUUUUGCAGGUACCGCAUGAAUAAGGACCGGCUAAUUCCGUG